AGAGUUUGAUCAUGGCUCAGGAUGAACGCUAGCGACAGGCUUAACACAUGCAAGUCGAGGGGCAGCAUGAUUUGUAGCAAUACAGAUUGAUGGCGACCGGCGCACGGGUGAGUAACGCGUAUCCAACCUGCCCACCACUUGGGGAUAACCUUGCGAAAGUAAGACUAAUACCCAAUGAUAUCUCUAGAAGACAUCUGAAAGAGAUUAAAGAUUUAUCGGUGAUGGAUGGGGAUGCGUCUGAUUAGCUUGUUGGCGGGGUAACGGCCCACCAAGGCAACGAUCAGUAGGGGUUCUGAGAGGAAGGUCCCCCACAUUGGAACUGAGACACGGUCCAAACUCCUACGGGAGGCAGCA
rnacentral:rRNA from 1 species